AAUCCCCAAAUCACAACAUCGGUCUACUUCCUACAGUCUGCUUCCCAAGCGGUCCCAGUAGACUCGGGAUGUUGGUCUCUGGGUUUAGGAAUUCUGUUAUGUCAUUUCCUCAUGAAGUUGAAAGUAAGUUUGUGGGCUAAUGCACGUACGAAAGGGAUGUUGAAACUCUGGCGCACAUUUCUCGGCAACAUUAGAAGUCGGGUAAAAGUAUUGAUUUGAAGGAAAGACGAGCAGACUGGCAGAGCAGGCAACAGAUGGCACACAGACAGCAGAGUUGGGGACAGAUAUGCAGGGACAGACUGGCAGAGACAGGGAGUCUCAGGGGUCAGUGCUCUAAAAUGAGUCUCUCUGGGGAGAGGAAGGAGGGGGGCCCUGCCUCUAAAAUGAGACUCUCUGGGGAACAUGACACCAAAUCUAAGAGACCAAUAAAGCAGGAGAGACCAGCCUCCCCUGUUCCCAGCUGUGUGUCCAUGAAGAGUGA